GAUGAAGAACGCAGUGAAAUGCGAUAAGUAGUGUGAAUUGCAGAAUUCAGUGAAUCAUCGAAUCUUUGAACGCACAUUGCGCCCCUUGGUAUUCCAUGGGGCAUGCCUGUUCGAGCGUCAUUUGUACCUUCAAGCUCUGCUUGGUGUUGGGUGUUUGUCCUUGCUCUAGUGGCAGGACUCGCCUUAAAGUAAUUGGCAGCCAGUGUUUUGGUUUUGAAGCGCAGCACAAGUCGCGAUUCAAGUCUAUACGCUAGUUUCCACAAGUCUUUUAUCACUUUUGACCUCGGAUCAGGUAGGGAUACCCGCUGAACUUAAGCAUAUCAAUAAGCGGAGGA
rnacentral:misc_RNA from 1 species